rnacentral:lncRNA from 1 species
AACAAAAACUUCCAGGAAGAUGGCAGAGUGGUAAACAACAACAAAUCAGCCUCUGCAAGAUUCAGAAACCAGACACUGGAAAAUAACAGCUUGGGGAAGACAAGAAGGAAUGAGGUGAAUCCCUGGAACCUAGGAAGGUUCCUAAAGAGAAAUUGAAGAGACAGACCACAACACAGAAAAAGGGUGAAUUGGUCCUGGUUCAUGGAUUGUGAGAAAGGAAAACUGAAUCUACAGAGACACAGUGAAAUCAGGUAACCAUAGAGGUGUUUAGGAAGAAAUGCACCAGUGAAAUGGAGCAGUGGAUGCUGUAUCCUACAACAGCUGGUGAACUCUGAAGAGACAGAAACUGGUUCUGCAGCAGUCAGAUGCUGAGGAAGUCCUCCCCUGUCCCCCUCUGUAUAACCGUAGUUCACCUCCUCUCCUGUCCAUCAUGACCCAUCUGGCCCCAGCUCCCUCAUUUUUUCCUUUAUGUCCCUUGCUACCUCUCCCUCCAUAUGAGAGCAUCUCCAA